UGGGGAAUAUUGCACAAUGGGCGAAAGCCUGAUGCAGCAACGCCGCGUGAGUGAUGAAGGCCUUCGGGUUGUAAAGCUCUGUCUUUUGGGACGAUAAUGACGGUACCAAAGGAGAAAGCCACGGCUAACUACGUGCCAGCAGCCGCGGUAAUACGUAGGUGGCAAGCGUUGUCCGGAUUUACUGGGCGUAAAGGAUGCGUAGGCGGAUUUUUAAGUGAGAUGUGAAAUACCCGGGCUUAACUUGGGUGCUGCAUUUCAAACUGGGAAUCUAGAGUGCGGGAGGGGAGAAUGGAAUUCCUAGUGUAGCGGUGAAAUGCGUAGAGAUUAGGAAGAACACCAGUGGCGAAGGCGAUUCUCUGGACCGUAACCGACGCUGAGGCAUGAAAGCGUGGGUAGCAAACAGGAUUAGAUACCCUGGUAGUCCACGCCGUAAACGAUGAGUACUAGGUGUAGGAGGUAUCGACCCCUUCUGUGCCGCAGUUAACACAAUAAGUACUCCGCCUGGGAAGUACGAUCGCAAGAUUAAAACUUAAAUGAAUUGACGGGGUCAUAGCUG
rnacentral:rRNA from 1 species